rnacentral:rRNA from 1 species
UAGGGAAUCUUCGGCAAUGGGGGGAACCCUGACCGAGCAACGCCGCGUGAGUGAAGAAGGUUUUCGGAUCGUAAAGCUCUGUUGUAAGAGAAGAACGUGUGUGAGAGUGGAAAGUUCACACAGUGACGGUAACUUACCAGAAAGGGACGGCUAACUACGUGCCAGCAGCCGCGGUAAUACGUAGGUCCCGAGCGUUGUCCGGAUUUAUUGGGCGUAAAGCGAGCGCAGGCGGUUUGAUAAGUCUGAAGUAAAAGGCUGUGGCUUAACCAUAGUAUGCUUUGGAAACUGUCAAACUUGAGUGCAGAAGGGGAGAGUGGAAUUCCAUGUGUAGCGGUGAAAUGCGUAGAUAUAUGGAGGAACACCGGUGGCGAAAGCGGCCUCCUGGGCCAUUUCUGACGCUAAGAUACGAAAGCGUGGGGAGCAAACA